GUUCAGCCGGGCCCCGGGACGUAUAUGUGGCACCGUUAUACUGCGUGUCCUCGAGGCCUCCUCAACUCUGCUCGUGCAUCAGCCUCCACUCUCGCUGUUCUCAUGAUCCACGCUGGUUGGAAACAAGUCUAUGGCUUAUGUGUUAGCUGAGGAAAUGUUUCACACUGGAAAUUACGGCAAAGAGCCCAGCAGAGGAUGGAGGGGCGGUUAUGGAAGAGGUUCACGAGGAGGAAGAGGGCGAGGCAGAGGGAGACAGAACAAUCAAGAGGCAGUUGGGCAUGCAUUAGCAAAUUUAAAUGUAAAUGAAGAGGUACCUGAAGGGUUAAUAGAGCCGUGUAAAGUGUAUGUUGGAAAUUUGCGUCAAAGGGUUGGUGAGAAGGACCUGCAUAAGGCACUGUCGCACUAUGUUCCUGUGGUGAAGGCUAUCAUUAUCAAAGAUAAGAUCACUAAGCGAAGUAGAGGAUAUGGUUUCGUUACGGUUGGAACAGAGGAAGAUGUGCAGACGUUAUUAAACUUAAAGGAUGGGCAUCGUUACAUCCAAGGACAAGAAAUGGUUAUAAGACCAGCGAAAAAACGAGUUGUUGUUCCUGGAGAUGACGAUUUUGUGCGUCGACCUUUUCCUGAUCGGGACUUUGAUUUGAGCCAACCUGAUCCAAACCAACCAUCCAUUCACAUGCUGGUAGAUGAUGUUCUUUAUAAAAUCAUGGAAUAUUUAUCGGUUCCAGAAUUAGUCCGUUGUGAAAGAGUGUGUCGACGGUGGCAGAUGCUGGUUCAUGGGAUGUUCACAAAAAUGAACUCUUUGGAAAUAGCACCAGGCAAAUUAGGGCUGUUUGGUCCAGUAACAGGUGCCAUACUUGGCAAGCUGCUGUUGCUUGCUGGUCCCACACUAAAGUCACUCAAGGUACAGAGUGUGGACUACUGCAGUAGACGAAAUGUCUUGAAAAUAAUUGGGCAGUUGUGUCCUGUACUUCAGUGUCUUGAUGUCACCCAAGCUCUUGGUAUAAACUUCCAGAACAUUAGUGCUCUAAAAGUCAGCUGUAGAAAUCUUAAAAGCUUCAUUGCAAAGAAAUGCCCAGAAUUUGGUGAAAAGGCACUACAGCAGCUUCUUGCUAGUUAUCCAGAAUUAGAACGACUUGAUAUAUCUGGCUGUUCAGUAACUGGCAAGUGUUUAAAUAUCCUUCCAACUACCCUCAAGGAACUUGUUAUAUCCAACUGUCUAAAUAUUGGUCCUUCGUAUCUGAAGGAAAUCGGUAGCCGAUGCCCACUUAUGUCGAUACUUGAGAUGGAUGAGUGUGUGGUCUCGGAAGAGGUGCUUGAACACAUUGGAAUGAAUUGUCCCAACAUUAAAAGGCUCUCCGUAUCAAUCAGGAUUCCAACGGUCAAUGAUUCUUUGGUCCACUUCAAGAAGCUAAAGGAUUUAGCUGUUGAUACAGCGCACAUAACCCUACCAAAUAUUCUGGAAAAUAUGCCUGAUCUUGAAACCCUUGCUAUUGUGGAUAAGGUGAACCCGGGUGGAGAGACUGACUUUUCCAUUUUGAAAAAGUUGAAGGCUGUGAUUUUCUACCAUCUUGCUUUAACAUCUUCAUCUCUAAGAAGCUUAGCAAAGUGUCCUUCCUUGGAGACGGUCCACCUGCAGAAUUGUACGAAUGUUACUAAUGAGAUUCUCCUAGACAUUCUUCGAGGUUGUGCCAGUAUAAAGAAGAUACGCUGCCCAAAUGUGGAUUUGAAUUUGAGCUUCAUUUCAACUGCCAACAAAAUUAUGGAGGGGAGAUCGGGCAAAGUUGUGAUUGAAGUUCGUGCUGAUUCACUAUCCGCCAAGGAACUUUUGGAAGCCCAAUAUGACAAUACAAAGAUAGCAUUUGAUAUCAUAUGGAUCAAUGUUUCAGAGUACCCAUUUCUGAUUAAGUGUCCUCUUUGGUGGUUUCUUCAUCAACUGGUUGAACCGCCUGGUAGGUCUCUUGACAUAUGAAUUGCAACCUGGUUGAAUAGGUAUUCAUUGGUAGCACUUACCAAAUUCUCUUGAACACAAUGAGAGGUUGUCCAGUUAUGCCCCGUACGUGUAGAGAAAGUGUUGAAAAGUCUUGGCACCUUGAUGUUGUUAGUUCUCUCUCAGUAUACCUAUUGUGUGUAUCCCUGUCAACGGGGCUAUUUUGCACAUCCUGCUAUGCCUCCUGGUAUCAUGUGAUGUUAUUUUAGUGUGCAGAUUUGGAACCAGUCCCCUCUAAUAUUUACAAAUAUAAAUAAAUAUGUAUCGCCUGUGCUGUAGAUGUUUAAUUAAAUUUGUGCAAUGAAAGACUUUUGCACAUUCUCCAGGCCAGCAAUUUAUCUAGCUUUAAAUAGGGUUGUUAGUGUACAUUAUUAUUACACACAUUAUUGAAUGGAAAAAGUAAUGUAAAAGAUUUAAAAGUAAUCAUGUCAGAAGACCUUACCUUUUAGAAAACACAAUAUAGUUACUAUCACGACUGCAUGAACGAUGACAGGUUGCAUAACAAGACCUUCCAAACAAUAGAUGUUAUACCAAUGAUACUUAAAGAUAUUUUGAUUCUCUAGAAUGGAAUACAGUACAGUAUUAUUGUACACUAACUGCCUCAUAUAAAGCUGGAGAAAUUGCUAAAAUGGAGGGCAUGCAAAGAUCUUUUACAGCUUGAAUCCACUUGGCAAAACAUCUAAUUUAUUGGGUCAGAAAAUUUUAAAUCUCUUCCCUGGAAUGCAGGCGGGAGGGAUAGAUAAUAAUUACACUUUGAAUUUUUUUGAAAUAUAUACAAGAGUUGUUACAUUCUUGUAUUUUUACAACCAAGUAACCAUUUUACUGUUAAGUUAAACAGAGACUACGGUUAAGGAUUUGCACCCAGUAAAUCCUCCCCGGCCAGGAUACGAACCCAUGACAAAGCGCUCGCGGAACGUCAGGCGAGUGCCUUGCCACUACACCACGGAGACUGGUAAAAUAUUAGAAGCACUGGUUUCAAAAUCUGCACACAGAAAUAACACAAAAGACCACAAGGCAUAGCAGGAUGUGAAAAAUAGCUUCUCUGAAAAGCAAAGGUGCAAUAGACAUGAUGAAAGAAAACUAUCAACAUCAAAGGGCCAAGACUUUUCAACACUUCCUCUACACCUCUGUGGCAAUAUUGGCCAGUCUCUUGCAAUGUUCAAAAGAUAACUCGACAAACGCCUUCAAAGGAUACCUGAUCAACCAGGCUGCAACUUGUAUGUUAGGCUGCGAGCAGGUGCAUCGAACAGCAUGGUUCAUCAAACUAGCAACCAGGAGGCCUGGUCAGAGACUGGGAUCAUGGUGACACUGAUUGCUGAAAUUGUCAACAGCUUGCUUUCCAUUUCUUGAUGACUUCUGUGAUGAUGGAGAUGAUGAAUCGUUAUAUUCUGAUGGGAGCUUUGAUGAUUUCUGGAUGUAUGGCUAUGAUAGUGACCAUAGUCUUCCAGAUGCACUGUUUUAUGGCGAUCA
rnacentral:misc_RNA from 1 species